GCCUUCGUGGUGUAACGGUAGCACACGCGGCUCAUAUUCGAGAGUUCCGGGUUCGAGUCCCGGCGGGGGCA